rnacentral:rRNA from 1 species
UACGUAGGGUGCGAGCGUUAAUCGGAAUUCUGGGCGUAAAGCGUGCGCAGGCGGUCUGUUAAGACCGAUGUGAAAUCCCCGGGCUUAACCUGGGAACUGCAUUGGUGACUGGCAGGCUUUGAGUGUGGCAGAGGGAGGUAGAAUUCCACGUGUAGCAGUGAAAUGCGUAGAGAUGUGGAGGAAUACCGAUGGCGAAGGCAGCCUCCUGGGCCAACACUGACGCUCAUGCACGAAAGCGUGGGGAGCAAACAGG